rnacentral:rRNA from 1 species
AUGCUACCUAACAACAUGCAGCACAAGCAUUCAAAGAGCAGCAGAACAUGGGAGCACCGUAGCAAACAGCAGCACGCAGCAGCCAGCAGCUCAAUGGAAGAAAAUCAUAAUAAAAGAGAUGAAGAUGUUGAGGAGAGGCUGCUGGGUUUGGGGAGUUGGGGUUACCUGCCGUUGGGAGGAGAGGCUGCUGGUGCUGGGGGUAGCGGUCGCCGGUCGAUUCCAGGUGUUGCCGCCGCCGCCGGCGGCGCAUUCACUGCUGUCUGGGAGGCUGGGAGAAGCACGUCAUAUGGAGAGCGUGCGUGCAACCGACCCCUGCAAGGUAUUGGGCCGAGGCUGUUUUUUGGCCAAGCCGUGUCCCAGACGUGUCAUGUACCGUAUUCCACCAUGCCCCUGUUUAUUUUUCUUUUGAAAAAAAUGAUUCUCCCGCCAUCAGGACGGCCAAUCGGCAAUUUCUGGCAUGUCCAUGCUUCUUAG